rnacentral:rRNA from 1 species
UACCAGCACCCCGAGUGGUCGGGACGUUUAUUGGGCCUAAAGCAUCCGUAGCCGGUUCUACAAGUCUUCCGUUAAAUCCAACUGCUUAACAGGUGGGCUGCGGAAGAUACUAUAGAGCUAGGAGGCGGGAGAGGCAAGCGGUACUCGAUGGGUAGGGGUAAAAUCCGUGGAUCCAUUGAAGACCACCAGUGGCGAAGGCGGCUUGCCAGAACGCGCUCGACGGUGAGGGAUGAAAGCUGGGGGAGCAAACCGG